rnacentral:lncRNA from 1 species
GGGCCCAGCGGAGAGCGGAGGCCAACGAGCGGAAGGCGGCUGAGUGGGCGGGGAUGAGUGAGGAGCAGAAGGAGGCGGUCAGGAAGGAAAAACAGGUGGGGUUGGGGGGUGCGGAAGGGUUCGGGGGGAAAGACGAACAACAAACGAGUGAAGCUGCUGCCAGGGCAAGAGUGUACCAGACGUAGAACUGACCGAAAGGCGUCCGUGAAGACGGCGACCUCGGGAUGACGUAGUGAAGCUGAUGUCGGAAAAACUACCUACCUAAAAACCCAGGACCUAGGAAAAACUACCUACCUAAAAACGCCAGGACUAAAAAAGCAGAGAAAGCAGUAAUGCCAAGCCGUAAAGUAGGUGUAGAAAAGUAGGUGUAGAGGCGGCGGAGAAGUAGUAAAGCACUGCUGUCCUAAAGCUGGAAUAAAGUUUGCUGCUGGCCUGGAGAACUAGCUGAUUUGCUGGCAAUGAAAAGCUGUCGGUAUGCAAGUGCUCCUCCCAAACCCCCCAAAAAACGCGCGACCGACCCGACCGACCCGAAUAUCCUAGUCCGGCUAGGGGUUCGGGGGGAGGCUAAGAGAGAAGAACCCUCCCCUUAAAUGGAUAUGGCCCAACCACCGCGAGUGGCAACACUUUCCCCCCUGCCGCUGCCGCUGCUGGUGUUGUUGCUACUGUUGCAUCUUUAGGCUCGUCUAGGGGCGCAUAAGGACGCUGAGAAGCAACUCAAGGAGCGGUUGAAACAGGUGGGCGAGUGAGUCGUGGUGUGGGGGCCCAUGGGUCGUUUUUUGAGAGGUAAGGGCCAUGGGGGGCUGGGGGUUGAGGAACAGGGAGCUCAAUGCAGGGUCCCGCCGUACUUCAUUGCCACGUGUCGCUCUGAGGGUUUCGCGCUGUUGUCCGGGUAACAUUUGGUGCUCAUUCUCCGUCUUUUCCGUUACCCUCCCCGGCCCGGCCUUUGCUCCCUCUCCCCGGCCCCCUACGCAUACACGCACACAUGCACAACACACGUGCGCUCUCUCUCUCUCUCUCAGUCUCUGGAGACCGGACCCCGCAUCGUGAUCGACCUGGACUGGGAGAAGCGCAUGAACGAGAACGACCUGCGGCACCUGGUUCAGCAGCUCAGCUUCUCCUACGCCGCCAACAAGCAGGUGGAUAGACCCGCGCAUAUGGUGCUGACCAGCUUCAAGGGGGGAGUGGCGGCACUGGCCAACAAACUUAACCCGGGUAAAGGGGUGGGGGUCCGGGGAGAGCGGUGGGAGAGCGGGAGAAUGGGGGGUUCGGGGACAUGUGCGUCUGUAUGUAUGCGGGGGAAGAGGAUCGUGGGCCGAUGGGGGAAUAUGGUUUAAAAGGCGAUGUAUUUCAGCAUGGGUGCUGUAGGGGUGUGUGGGUAAUGAUGAGUUUGGUGGCGAGCGUGGUUGGCAUGUAGCCCGUGACCUGAGCAUUAGGGCGGCGACAGGAUGUGGGGAUCUACCAGUCCUGGCGCUUCUUUACUUACCGCCUAUACCCGGUAACCCCUCAGGUAUGGAUAAGUGGUUUAUAACCCGUACGGAGCAGCACUACGGGGAACUCUUCAGCAGCCCCGAGGAUAAGGCCCGACUGGUUUACUUGACAGCGGAUGCGGAGGACGAGCUAGACGAGCUGGACGAGAGCAAGAUCUACAUAAUUGGUGGAUUGGUGGACCACAACAGGUAAAGGGUUAGGGGGUGGGGGAUUGCGUACCGUACAAGGGGGGAAGGGGGUCACGAGGGCCUCGAGGGGGGAUUGGAUUGGAGGUGGGCAAGGAGGGGUUACAGGUACAGUAACCCCUGUUGAGGGAAAGGGGAGGACGGUGAACACGGGGCCUCCCGCCGAGCCCCAACCCGAGCCCCAGCUUCCCCCCCGCUGUCCUUCCCCUUGUUCGUGUGUUCCUUGGGUUUUUGCAGAUCUGACCUGACCCUGGGGUUUGGCCUGACCCGACCUUGACCCGCCUCAUCUCACCUCGCCUCAACCCGGACACCUAACCCCUCACACACCCUCACACACACGCAGUUCACACGCACACACUUCCUUUCAACCCGUCCAGGUACAAGGGCCUGUGCGAGGAGCAGGCACAAGCAGCGGGUAUCCCCACCGCGAGGCUGCCCAUCAACCGCUACGUGCAGCUGGCCAGUCGUGCAGUACUAACGGUCAACCACGUGUUCCAGAUCCUGGUGGAGUACUACGCGCGCCGGGACUGGGUCAGCACGCUAGACGUCGUCCUGCCCAAGAGGAAACGGGCGGACUUGGCGAACCAGCCGCCGCCGCAGCAGCAGCAGCAGCGGCAGCAGCAGCAACGAGCUGUGCAGUCUGAGAUCCCACCCUCAAAAGCGGCGCAGGAAGUGGCAGCAGGGGAUGGUACUGCGCAAUCCAAUGGAGCGGGAAGUGGUUCGAUGGCGGAAGAUGAUUUGAUGGAGGCCGAUGCUGGGAAGCUUGCGGUGGCGGAGGAGACGGUGAAGGGCGAGGGCGCGUCAGCGGCAGCAACGGAAGGGGGGAGCUCCGGAGCUGGGGAGGUGGAAGAGGGGAGAGGCACGAAGCGUAAAGCUGAGGGCGAGCCGGCGGCAGCGGACUGAGUAUUGCAGACGGCUGAACGGGGUCGAGCGAAGUUUGGAGACCACGCAGGAGCAGGGCGACCGACCUUGUUACGAGGUUGAAGUGUGGGAUGGGAUGGGGCUUGGCUCAACCACAUCGCUUGUAUGCGGCACUUUGGCGGGACCCAUGCGGCUCCGGGAGGUCCUUCAGGGUUUGCCUUGGUGUAAUUAAGCGAAGGGUCGUUGUAAAAUCAUUUAUGUACAGUGCAAGCCGUGCAUCGCUGCAGGAGGUGGUUGAAGGUGUCACUCUUUGCCCACGGAGUAGCCGAGCUCCUCGUCCUUAGGUUUUACGCUGUAUAGCUAGCAUGGAACGGGAAGAAAAGCAGGUAGCAGCAUUUGUUCGGAGGCCGUCUUAAAAGAUAACAUCCUCCCGCUUCCCUGCUUUGGAUACUUUCCAGAAAUUAGGACGAGUUAACAAGAUUUGUGUAUGAUAUUCUAUGAGGAGGUGUACUGCCUGGGUGUCCAGUAUUAUAGACAACAUCUGCUUUCGGAAGUACUUCGUCCGCUGAGUCGGCACGUGCACGUUCCAAGUGAAAAUUUGCCCAGGUACCUGGACUGCAAUAUCAAUACUUGCUAAGCUGCGUGCUUUUGUAGAGAUUAAUUGUUUUAGAUUCUUGGGACGGAGGGCUUUAGGAGGACGGCGGCGUGUGACGCCAAGGAGAGCGGCUUGGCAUUUGGCUGCCAUGCCUGCCAUGGCCAAUGACACCGAACCGCUGCUUUCUGCCUACCACUUCAACUAUACGCAGC